rnacentral:rRNA from 1 species
UACGUAGGGUGCGAGCGUUAAUCGGAAUUACUGGGCGUAAAGGGCGCGUAGGCGGCCUUCUAAGUCGGACGUGAAAUCCCUCGGCUUAACCGAGGAACUGCGUCUGAUACUGGAAGGCUUGAAUCCGGGAGAGGGAUGUGGAAUUCCAGGUGUAGCGGUGAAAUGCGUAGAUAUCUGGAGGAACACCGGUGGCGAAGGCGGCAUCCUGGACCGGCAUUGACGCUGAGGCGCGAAAGCUAGGGGAGCAAACGGG